GGGGUCCUACGGGGGGCAGCAGUGAGGAAUAUUGGUCAAUGGCCGAGAGGCUGAACCAGCCAAGUCGCGUGAGGGAUGACGGCCCUACGGGUUGUAAACUUCUUUUGUCGGGGAACAAAGGCGGAGACGCGUCUCCGGAUGAGUGUACCCGGAGAAAAAGCAUCGGCUAACUCCGUGCCAGCAGCCGCGGUAAUACGGAGGAUGCGAGCGUUAUCCGGAUUUAUUGGGUUUAAAGGGUGCGCAGGCGGGGGAUC
rnacentral:rRNA from 1 species